rnacentral:tRNA from 2 species
GCCUCUGUGGCGGAAUUGGUAGACGCGCCGGACUCAAAAUCCGGUUCUUAACGGAGUGUCGGUUCGAUUCCGACCGGAGGCACCA